AGAUCAACCUCAAAAACUGCACGGGAAUCGCUUGGUAUAAAUAUAAUCCACCACAGACAUAAAUACCAAUCACCAAAAACUCCGAGUGCACAUUUUGUAGAUGGAACGGCAGAGUUCAAUAGAAGCUUCAUACACCCACAAUCAAACUAAGAUGGAAGACUGAAUUACUGAAGUAGAUAGACUGAAUUCAUGCCUGUUCAUUUAGAUAAAUAAGAUUCAUUACCUACUCAAACUAAUGCAGUCAUCUGGGGAGGUUCUUUAUUAGGAGGUAGAAUUUAGUUAGAAACAAAAAAAAGAUCAAAUCUAUGUGAAAGUUGGAGUAAUUGAAUAGAAAGAUAAUGCUGAGCAUAUAAGCCUAUUAUUAUGCAGGUUGCAAACGUUUGCAAAUAACAAGAAAACAUAAAAAUAUAGUGGGGAAAUGCGUGUAAAACAUGGGGAUGACUGAAAAGCAAGAGAAAACCAAUCAGCAAAAGAGAGCAUUGAAAAAGUCAUGAAAGAUGGGCGGGCAGAGUAGUAGUAGUCAUAAAAUCACAUAUAAUAUGAGAAAAACAUCCAUUUUUUGUCAUUGCCUUUCCCUCUCCUCUUUUUCUCUUUGCUCAUACAAAUUCCCAUCACACCAUUAAACAGCACAAAGAUAGUCUGCAUUGCCCCUCAUGCUUUAACUUUUUGCAACAUAUGACUCCAAUGAAAGUGAUUUUCUUUUUUUUUUUUUUUUUUUUUUUGUCUUUUUCCUUUUCUUUUAAGCUUCUUAUUUUUGGGGCUGCCUCUCCUAUGCAUUAACCUAAUUUUAAUGUUGCAACUUAUGGUGUAUAUUAUACAUUAUAGCAAAUGAGGCUGUUGGUGUUUAGGAUGAUGAUGAGGUAUUGAGGUGAGACCAGACCCAUUUCUUUCUUCAUAUUUUCUUGUUUCCAUACCCAUACCAUACCCCCGCUUUUCUCUUUCUUUCUUCUUUCUUUCUUUUUUUUCUUC
rnacentral:lncRNA from 1 species